rnacentral:rRNA from 1 species
ACGAACGCUGGCGGCGCGCCUAACACAUGCAAGUCGAACGGUCUUGUGAUAGAGCUUGCUCUAACAUGAGAUAGUGGCGGACUGGUGAGUAACACGUGAGCAACCUACCUACGGGAGAGGGAUAGCGUCUGGAAACGGACGGUAAUACCACAUAAAGCCAUUUAAGGGCAUCCUUGAAUGGUUAAAGGAGGCAACUCCGCCGAUAGAUUGGCUCGCGACUGAUUAGGUAGUUGGAGUGGUAAUGGCACACCAAGCCUACGAUCAGUAGCCGGACUGAGAGGUUGAACGGCCACAUUUGGACUGAGAUACGGCCCAGACUCCUACGGGAGGCAGCAGUGGGGGAUAUUGCACAAUGGAGGAAACUCUGAUGCAGCGACGCCGCGUGAGGGAAGACGGUCUUCGGAUUGUAAACCUCUGUCCUAGGGGAAGAAGAAAGUGACGGUACCCUAGGAGGAAGCCACGGCUAACUACGU